UACGUAGGGCGCAAGCGUUAUCCGGAAUUAUUGGGCGUAAAGAGCUCGUAGGCGGUUUGUCGCGUCUGCCGUGAAAGUCCGGGGCUCAACUCCGGAUCUGCGGUGGGUACGGGCAGACUAGAGUGAUGUAGGGGAGACUGGAAUUCCUGGUGUAGCGGUGAAAUGCGCAGAUAUCAGGAGGAACACCGAUGGCGAAGGCAGGUCUCUGGGCAGUGACUGACGCUGAGACGCGAAAGCGUGGGGAGCAAACAGG
rnacentral:rRNA from 1 species